rnacentral:rRNA from 1 species
UACAGAGGUGGCAAGCGUUGUUCGGAAUUACUGGGCGUAAAGGGCGCGUAAGUGGCCUUCUUAGUCAGACGUGAAAUCCCCAGGCUUAACCUGGGAACUGCGUCUGAUACUGGAAGGCUCGAGUUCGGGAGAGGAAUGUGGAAUUCCAGGUGUAGCGGUGAAAUGCGUAGAUAUCUGGAGGAACACCGGUGGCGAAGGCGGCAUUCUGGACCGAAACUGACGCUGAGGUGCGAAAGCCAGGGGAGCAAACGGG